ACGCUGGCGGCAGGCUUAACACAUGCAAGUCGAACGGUAGCAGGAGAAAGCUUGCUUUCUUGCUGACGAGUGGCGGACGGGUGAGUAAUGCUUGGGAAUCUGGCUUAUGGAGGGGGAUAACUACGGGAAACUGUAGCUAAUACCGCGUAGUGUCGAGAGACGAAAGUGCGGGACCGCAAGGCCGCAUGCCAUGAGAUGAGCCCAAGUGGGAUUAGGUAGUUGGUGGGGUAAAGGCCUACCAAGCCUGCGAUCUCUAGCUGGUCUGAGAGGAUGGCCAGCCACACUGGAACUGAGACACGGUCCAGACUCCUACGGGAGGCAGCAGUGGGGAAUAUUGCGCAAUGGGGGGAACCCUGACGCAGCCAUGCCGCGUGAAUGAAGAAGGCCUUCGGGUUGUAAAGUUCUUUCGGUAUUGAGGAAGGUUGAUGUGUUAAUAGUACAUCAAAUUGACGUUAAAUACAGAAGAAGCACCGGCUAACUCCGUGCCAGCAGCCGCGGUAAUACGGAGGGUGCGAGCGUUAAUCGGAAUAACUGGGCGUAAAGGGCACGCAGGCGGUUAUUUAAGUGAGGUGUGAAAGCCCCGGGCUUAACCUGGGAAUUGCAUUUCAGACUGGGUAACUAGAGUACUUUAGGGAGGGGUAGAAUUCCACGUGUAGCGGUGAAAUGCGUAGAGAUGUGGAGGAAUACCGAAGGCGAAGGCAGCCCCUUGGGAAUGUACUGACGCUCAUGUGCGAAAGCGUGGGGAGCAAACAGGAUUAGAUACCCUGGUAGUCCACGCUGUAAACGCUGUCGAUUUGGGGAUUGGGCUUAGAGCUUGGCGCCCGUAGCUAACGUGAUAAAUCGACCGCCUGGGGAGUACGGCCGCAAGGUUAAAACUCAAAUGAAUUGACGGGGGCCCGCACAAGCGGUGGAGCAUGUGGUUUAAUUCGAUGCAACGCG
rnacentral:rRNA from 1 species